CCCUAGUAACUGCGAGUGAAGAGGGAAAAGCUCAAAUUUCGAAUCUGGCGGUCGUUAGGUCGGCCGUCCGAGUUGUAAUCUAGAGAAGCGUCUUCCACGCUGGACCGUGUACAAGUCUCCUGGAAGGGAGCAUCAUAGAGGGUGAGAAUCCCGUCUUUGACACGGACUACCAGUCGUCUAUGUGAUGCGCUCUCGACGAGUCGAGUUGUUUGGGAAUGCAGCUCAAAACGGGUGGUAAAUUCCAUCUAAAGCUAAAUACAGGCGAGAGACCGAUAGCGAACAAGUACCGUGAGGGAAAGAUCAAAAGAACUUUGAAAAGAGAGUUAAACAGUACGUGAAAUUGCUGAAAGGGAAACGCUUGAUGUCAGUCGCGUUCGUUAGGGAUCAGCCUCGCCAGAAUGGCUAGGCGCAAUUCCUAGUGGAUGGGUCAGCAUCAGUUUCGGUCGCUGUACACAGGCGAAGGGAAAGUGGCACUCUUUAAUUAGGGUGUGUUAUAGACCCUCGUCGGACGCAGCGGGUUAGGGACUGAGGAACUCUGCAUAGGAUUGACUUGUGCAAGGGAUGCUGGCAUAAUGGCCUUAAGCGACCCGUCUUGAAACACGGACCAAGGAGUCUAACAUGCCUGCGAGUGUUUGGGUUUGCAAACUCGAGCGCGCAACGAAAGUGAAAGUCUAGACCUCUGUCGUGGAGGGCAUGGACGCCCGGACCCAAGUCAUCGAUUAGGGAUCUGCGGUAGAGCAUGCAUGUUGGGACCCGAAAGAUGGUGAACUAUGCCUGAAUAGGGUGAAGCCAGAGGAAACUCUGGUGGAGGCUCGUAGCGAUUCUGACGUGCAAAUCGAUCGUCGAAUUUGGGUAUAGGG
rnacentral:rRNA from 1 species